rnacentral:lncRNA from 1 species
UUAGUUUCUUACGAGAUCCCAUUAAAAAUAUUUAAUAAUGAUCUUUAAUUUAGAAAAUACUUUUCACAAUUUUAAGGGCCUAAAAGUUAUUUAAUCCAUGUAAGGAAAACGCCAACCUUAUAAGUUAUAAAGUAAUAAAAUUAUAUUCUACAUGAUGCAUGCAUAAGGAGGAACAUAUGGCAGAAAUUAUCAAGUUUAUUUAUGUUAUGAUCAUGAUAUUGCUUAUUUCAAAGAAUGUUGAUGGUAAACUAUUUUUUUUAUCCUUUUCAAUUUUUUUAUUUACUGUACACACAAUUUUAUUCUCCUUUUUUUGGUAAUAGCGGCGGUUUUUAGUUGUCUUCAAGAUUCUGAAUGUCCACAUAAUCUUUGUCCUGCUCCUAGUGAAUCGAAUUGUAUUUAUGGCGUGUGUAAUUGUGUUAUUAAAACCACAGAUUAUCAUGAUCGGUAAGUUUUUUUUUUUUUUGAGAACUCAUUAUUAAGUUGAAUACAACAAAUUUCUGUACCUAAGAGGCAUUUAAUAAUAUUAUUAUUUUAGAAAAUAUUUUUACAACUCCAUAAGGUCUAAAAACUAUUUAAUGACUGUAAGGAGAACAUGAGAUUUAUAAAUUAUAAAGUGAAAAAUCAUGUUCUACUUGAUACAUCCAAUGGGGAGAAAUAUGAUUAAAAUUUGCAAAUUUGUUUGUUAUAAUUAUUUUUCUUUUCAUAUUUCAUGUUUCAACAAACAUUAACAAUAAGCCAUUUAUUUAUCCUUUUAAGUUUUCUUAUUUACUUUGUACAUAACAUUUUAUCCUAUUAUACUAACAAUUUUUUUAUUUUAUUUUUUUCAUUUCAGUGGGAACUAGAUGUUUUCAGGAUAUAUACGAUUGUCCGAAAAAUAUCUGUAUGUCUCCAUUUAAUCUGAGAUUUAUGUAAGAGUGGUUUGUAUGUGUUAGAAUUAUGUCAUAGAUUCAUUAAAUAUCAUAGUUAAGAGAGUAUUACAAUGACAUGAUAGAAUAUUCAAUGAGUUAUCAUUCAAUUAUUGUAAAAUGCGUGUUUAAUAUGUUUUUUCAAUUCGAUUAAAUGUGAGUGUGUAGUAUUUGUUUCAGAAAAAAAAAAUUCCAAUGUAAUGAAUAAAAUUAUUGUACCUAUAAGGAUUCAUCCGAUAGCAAAGUUUAUAUAUAAAAGUGUUUGGUUGUAAAGUAAUUGUUUAAAAGCAUAAAAUACCGAAAGUAAAAUAAGAGAAUAAUAGUGAAAAAGACUUGUUGGCUAUAAAUUCAU